rnacentral:rRNA from 1 species
UACGUAGGGCGCAAGCGUUAUCCGGAAUUAUUGGGCGUAAAGAGCUCGUAGGCGGUUUGUCGCGUCUGCCGUGAAAGUCCGGGGCUCAACUCCGGAUCUGCGGUGGGUACGGGCAGACUAGAGUGAUGUAGGGGAGACUGGAAUUCCUGGUGUAGCGGUGAAAUGCGCAGAUAUCGGGAGGAACACCAAUGGCGAAGGCAGCUCGCUGGGACGGUACGUGACGCUGAGGCGCGAAAGCGUGGGGAGCAAACAGG